UUUGAACAAUCUUAAAGACUGGAAAAAAAUGUCAUUUUAAAGUUUCUUUUUCUGAGGUCCCAGUUUAAAAAGUAUCUUCCUGAGGAAGCCUCCAAGGAUGCUCAGAUGGUUUGUUUCCUUCUUAUGUAUUUCCACAGCAGCUUGCCAUUUUCUUUCUCAGCAUUUUGUUUAGGGAUGAUGAUUGAGGAGCAAUUCUCCAGA
rnacentral:lncRNA from 1 species